rnacentral:rRNA from 1 species
UCGCUGGAUCACAACUGACGCUGAGGGACGAAAGCUAGGGGAGCAAACAGGAUUAGAUACCCUGGUAGUCCUAGCCCUAAACCAUCAGGACUUGGGGUUUGCCCUGUACGGGGCAAGUCCCGUAGCUAACGCGUUAAGUCCUGCGCCUGGGGAGUACGGUCGCAAGACUGAAACUCAAAGGAAUUGACGGGGGCCCGCACAAGCGGUGGAACAUGUGGUUCAAUUCGACGCAACGCGAAGAACCUUACCUGGGCUUGAACCGCACAGGACCAUCUUUGGAAACAGAGACUUCCCGCAAGGGACCUGUGUAGAGGUGCUGCAUGGCUGUCGUCAGCUCGUGCCGUGAGGUGUUGGGUUAAGUCCCGCAACGAGCGCAACCCUUACUCAUAGUUGCCACCCGCAAGGGGGAACUCUAUGAGGACUGCUCCGGAUAACGGAGAGGAAGGUGGGGAUGAGAUCAAGUCAGCAUGGCCUUUAUGUCCAGGGCUACACACGUGUUACAAUGCGCGCCACAAAGCGUUGCAAACCCGCGAGGGGGAGCUAAUCGCAAAAAAGCGCGCUCAGUUCGGAUUGCAGUCUGCAACUCGACUGCAUGAAGCCGGAAUCGCUAGUAAUGGCGCAUCAGAACGGCGCCGUGAAUACGUUCCCGGGCCUUGUACACACCGCCCGUCACAUCGCGAAAGUGGGCUGUACUAGAAAUCGCCGUGCCAACCGCAAGGAGGCAGGCGCUCAAGGUAUGACUCAUGAUUGGGGUGAAGUCGUAACAAGGUAACC